AUUGAACGCUGGCGGCAGGCCUAACACAUGCAAGUCGAGCGGUAGAGAGGAGCUUGCUUCUCUUGAGAGCGGCGGACGGGUGAGUAAUGCCUAGGAAUCUGCCUGGUAGUGGGGGAUAACGUUCGGAAACGGACGCUAAUACCGCAUACGUCCUACGGGAGAAAGUGGGGGAUCUUCGGACCUCACGCUAUCAGAUGAGCCUAGGUCGGAUUAGCUAGUUGGUGAGGUAAAGGCUCACCAAGGCGACGAUCCGUAACUGGUCUGAGAGGAUGACCAGUCACACUGGAACUGAGACACGGUCCAGACUCCUACGGGAGGCAGCAGUGGGGAGUAUUGGACAAUGGGCGCAAGCCUGAUCCAGCCAUGCCGCGUGUGUGAAGAAGGUCUUCGGAUUGUAAAGCACUUUAAGUUGGGAGGAAGGUCAGUAGCUUAAUACGUUGCUGAUUUGACGUUACCGACAGAAUAAGCACCGGCUAACUCUGUGCCAGCAGCCGCCGUAAUAC
rnacentral:rRNA from 1 species